UGCGAUGAGUCGAGAACGUCAGGCAGCUUUCGAGCUGUUCCGCGCAAGCGGCUAGUGACAUUUCGAGUGGGACACGUUUACCUACCGGAUGAUGUAGGGUGUCCGAUCAUGAUGCGUUGUGGAGCGC
rnacentral:ncRNA from 1 species